GGAAGGCGCCGCCCGGUGGCGGGCGACCGGUCUUGAAAACCGGGGUGUCGGCAACGGCAGGGGUUCGACUCCUCCGCUUUCCUC
rnacentral:tRNA from 1 species